ACAUGUCCAAUCCAGCAGCGAUUCCUGCUGGCCCUAAUGUCCCCCAGUUUCCAUCACCUCCCUGCUUUUAUCCUUGUCCAAGCCACCAUCCAAUCCCACCUGCGCUAGAGCAAUGGCCUAACUGGUCUCCGACCACACCUCGCCUCCUCACUUCCGGGAAAAGGACCUACAUAGGCGGCUCUCUGUCACCCUCUGCCCUGUCUUCCAGUACUCUCCUCUCCGCUCACUCUCUCCAGCCUCACUGCCCUCCUUGACGUUUCUUUCACUUUCCAGCUGAAUUCCUCCUUCGAGACCUUUGCUGUUCCCUUUGCUUAAACAAAUUUCCUGAGAUACUUACACGGUUCAUCCCUCACCUCCCUGCCUUUACUCAACUGUCAUUUUCUCAACGUGGCCUUCUUUGACCACCUUAAACUGCGUUCUUCUCCAAACAUACAAUAUAUAUUUUACUUAUCUGCUUUGUGAACCUCCCUUCAGCAUUACCUAACGUCCGUGAAGGGGUGCUCGGGGUAGGCCGGCCCAGCUCUUGGAUGGCAGAGUCCCGACGGGGCCUGGCACAGGACAAACGAAUGCAGAGCCUACUGACGGGACCCUGAAGGUCGGCCGGGCCCUCGGGCCUACAAGUCAUCAGCCACGGGCAAGCAGACUCGCCCUGCCACGGUGUCAGCCCAGCUGCCUCAUGUGGGAUGCAGAGAAGUUAUCCUCUCCAACUUCAAGAUGACAAAGAGCUGUUAACUCACACCCCUGCCAUCCACCCAAGGGCACAUGACAUCCUCAGACCUUCCAGAACCUCAGGAAUGGGGAAGGACCUGAAAACCUGAGCUCUUGCAAUAAAUGCCUCUGUGUCCACCUCACCUGUGCCAGGGGCAUCCACAAGAGCAGGACCUGGCCAGGUGGGUAAGGGGGUGUAGUUGCUGUGCCUUCACCCAGCAUCCUGAGACGCAGGUACUACUCUUAUGUCCAUUUGACAGAUGAGCUGGGGGCUCCUCUCACCCAGAUCACUGCAGAAACCUCUGACUGGUUUUCCUGCUCUGUGUCCCCAAGCAGAAGACCUUUCUAACCUGUGCCCAGAUCUUGUCCCUCCUGUGGUCAAUGCCCUCCACUGUCUGCUGGGUGCUCCUCGUAUCCUUCAAAGUUAGUGCCUGAGGUGUACAGUGGCCUACACAGGCCCUGCAGGAACGGCUCCCAACCACCUUCUCCUCCUCACUUCUCCAAUCCUCCAGCUCACCAGUGCAUUCUCAGUGCCCCAACCCAUUCCUCCCUGUCACCUCAUCCUCUUCAGUUCUUUGCUCAAAUGUCCAGUGUCUCAGAAAAAACUUUUUUUAACAGCAAAUGUUUAUUAUUUCACAGUUUUUGUGGGGCAGGAAUCUGGGCAUGACUUCCUCCAGGUCAGGGUCUCUCACAGGCUGCAAACUAAGAGUCAGCUGGGGCUGUGGUCUCAUCAGCAGGCUUGACUGGGAAAGGAUCUGUCUCUAAGCUCACUCAGUAGAUGUUGGCAAUACUCAGUUCCCUGCCAUGCAGGCCCCUCCAGCAUGGCAACUCAUGACAUGGCAACUUGUUUCAUCAGUGCCAGCAAAGGAGAAUGAGCGGUGGGUCCCACACUUGUGUGUGAACUAGGAUCACUUGGAGGAGCUAUUGAAACACAGCGUGCCAGGCUUCACACUCAAAGGUCUGAUUUUCAGUAGUCUUGGUGGGGCGCAAGAACACACAUUUCUAACAGGUUCCCAGCCGAGACAAGGACUGCACUUGAAGCGCUGCUGAAUUACAGGGACCGCCUCCCUGGGUUUCUGUUUCUUCAUUGUAUUUUAUCUGUUGAUGGGACACUCUUUAGAAUUCCCAGGUGAGACCACUGAUUUCAACCCUGGCCACACAUAGAAAUUAUUUGGAGUACUUUAAAAAAUAAUAUGCUUUGAGGCCCCAUUCAGAAUCUAUUGAAAAUGGGGUGGGGAUUUCUGGAAGUGUGCUUUUAUUUUUUUGUUACUAUUUUGUAUAUUGAAGUGCAUACAAUAAAAUGCACAAAUCUUA